rnacentral:rRNA from 1 species
CCUACGGGAGGCAGCAGUGAGGAAUAUUGGUCAAUGGCCGAGAGGCUGAACCAGCCAAGUCGCGUGAGGGAUGACGGCCCUACGGGUUGUAAACCUCUUUUGUCGGGGAGCAAAGCGAGUCACGUGUGGCUCAUUGAGAGUACCCGACGAAAAAGCAUCGGCUAACUCCGUGCCAGCAGCCGCGGUAAUACGGAGGAUGCGAGCGUUAUCCGGAUUUAUUGGGUUUAAGGGGUGCGCAGGCGGAGGUGCAAGUCAGCGGUAAAAAUUCGGGGCUCAACCCCGUCGUGCCGUUGAAACUGAUGGUCUUGAGUGGGCGAGAAGUAUGCGGAAUGCGUGGUGUAGCGAUGAAAUGCAUAGAUAUCACGCAGAACUCCGAUUGCGAAGGCAGCAUACCGACGCCCAACUGACGCGGAAGCACGAAAGCGUGGGUAGCGAACAGGAUUAGAUACCCUUGUAGUC